CCUUUUUGUCUUUUUAGGGCUACACCGGCGACAGAUGGAGGUUUCCAGGCUAGGAGUCAAAUUGGACCUGUAGCUGCUGGCCUACACCCUAGCCACAGCAGCACAGAAUCUGAGGCAUGUUUUCGACCUACACCACAGCUCAUGGUAACGCUGGAUCCUUAACCCACUGAGCGAGGCCAGGGAUCAAACUUGCAUCCUCGUGGAUGCUAGUUGGGUUCUUUAACCACUGAGCCAUGAUGGGAACUCCAAGAAGUCCACCUAGGUUCGAGUGGAACUCCUUCUAUAGAAAUAAAAAAAGAAAUAAUCCCCUGGUUUUCUUAUCUAAUCUCAGAUGUCCAAAGACCAGAGAUAAAUUUUGUAUUAAGUUGUGGUAGAUCCUCUUUUCUUUUGGCUGCACUCAUGGCAUGAAGAAGUUCCCAGGCCAAGGAUGAAACCCACACCACAACUAUAACCUGAGUCGCAAGAGUGACAACACCAGGUCCUUAACCUGCUGAGCAACAGGGGAACUCCCUUACUAGAGUUUUAAUGGUUUUCGUUUGAAUUAAGUUGUUAAAAGUGUCUGUAUAUUUUCCUAUUCAGAUAUGUUAUAAUAAUAACUUAGAAUGCCAACCAUCUUAUUUGGGAUUAUAAUUCCAAGUUGAAGCUCGGGAUUUGGGUUCAAAUACUGAUAGAACCACUUUUCCUAAAAUCUAAAUUAAUUCAAUCAACAAGUAUGUUUUGAGGUCAUAUUUAGCACCAAGCACUAAAGUAGAUGCUGGGGCUACUACAGCAAGGAAAACCAGGCACUCUCUGCCCUCAUGGAGCCUGCAGUUGGGAGAGUGGGGUACGCAUUCACCAAACAAUUGCACAGCACAUUCAAGUAUAAAACUGCAACCAUGCUAAUUGUCCUGAAGAGGAGGUACCUCAUAUUCUGUGAAACUAUGAAGUUGGAAUUUGGUUUAAUAUGAGGUUCUCUUAGGAAGAGACACCUGAUCUGAAAAAGCAAGGAUAACCAGGAGAUACCCACUUGACAAGGUCAAGUAUUCCAGGUGAAGGGAACAGAUUCUGCAAAGUGGCUAUAGCCACAGGGGGAAUAGAGUGUAUGAGAUGAGCUUGGAGAGGUAGGUAAGAGUUAACCCCAUUCAUAGUUAAGAUGUAUUAUCUUUAUCACAAACACAAUGGAGGCCAUUGAAGAGCUAACUUUAUAGUGAAGGAAUGUGUGCUACUCUGUGGGAUUAUGGUCUAAUAAAAGAGAAGGGAACUUAUUCUGAAUUCCAUCUUUGACUCCUGGAGUGUCUUGUUAACAAUUUAAUGCCUCAUGACUCAAGUUUCUUUACCUAUAACCAGCUUACUUCAUGCACAUCAUCUCAAGUGUUGUAGAGACAUUUUAAGGAACAAUGAAUCAUAACUAUAACUACUGAGUUCUUUGAACACCUUGGAUGAAAGAUGUUAUACAGCCUAUAAAUGCAAAGCAUUAUUAUUGCCCAUCAGACAGAAAGCUGUCUCCAGCCAAAAAGAAACCAGCAAAGUAUAAAGUGUAUGAGGUUCCCUCUACUUCUGUAAUAUUCAAAUUUAUAGUCUGGGUAUAAAUUAAUGGGUUUAAUGCUAGGUCAGCUUGGCAUCUUUGAUCUAAAAGGCCCAGAGCACUCUGCAAACAUUGUCAUCUAUUAUUAAAACACCAGCCACUAUAACAACUCUUUCUUCCUGAGAAUUAUGAUAGCAUUUACAAAGUUUUUUUUGUGUGCGUAUUUGUUUUUUGAUCAUGGCCAUGGCGUGUGGAAGUUCCUGGGCCAGGGAUUGAGCCCAUGCCACAGUAGCAACCUGACCUGGGCUGCUGCCAGUGACAAUGCCAGAUCUUUAAACUGAUGUGCCACAAGGGAACUCCUUACAUUUUUUCAAAAGGUCAACACCAAAGUUAGAGUCAAGCAGCCAAAGAGGGUAUAAGCUCCUAGUUUAUCCUGCCAUCUGGUUGUUGUUGUUUUUUUUGCUUUGUUUUGUUUUCAGUCAAACAAGAAAACAAAAACACUUUAAAGCCAAAAUAUAAACUAUAGCACAUUGAGAUGAAGGAAGAGGGAGUUCCCAUUGCAGCUCAGCAGAAGUGAAUCUGACUAGUAUCUAUGAGGAUGCAGUUUCAAUCCCUGGCCUCAAUCAGUUCUGGCCUUGAUCAGUGGGUUAAGGAUCUGGCGUUGCCUCAAGCUGCAGCAUAGGUUGCAGACAUGGCUUGGAUCUGGUGUUGCUGUGGCUGUGGUGUAGGCCAGCAGCUUCAGCUCCAAUUUUACCCUAGCCUAGGAAAUUUUCUAUGUUGCAGGUGUGGCUGUAAAAAAACCCAACAACAACAACCAAAAAAACCACCCAAAAAAGCAAUAAACUUUUUUUCUUAAAUAAAUAUCCAAUCUUAUCUUUAGUGCAGGGCAAUUUAGUACUUUCUGGAUUGUUUUGGCCUAACAGGUGUCAACUAAAAAAAGGCACAACCUGAAAGUUGAAAGUUAAGUUUUAUUUGGGGUGAAAUUAGGACUUAAGCUGGGGAGACCGCAUCUCAGGUAGUCCCAAGAAACCACUGAGAUAGAAGGAGGAGGCAAGAGGUGAAGCUAGGAUAUAUGAGUUUUUGCAACAAAGGAAAGGUAGUGGGAACAAAAUGCAACUACGGAUAAGCAGAUUUUUCAGAAAACCAAUUUCUAUGGGACGAUGUAAAGGUCUGGGCUUACUGGAAUUACUCCUCUGAUAUGCACCUCAGCUGUGGGCUGGUUUUUGUUUCUUCCCUGAGUUCCCUCAGGGCUCACCGGUCCACGCUUGGGAGUGAUUGUUCUCACAGGUGACCAUAACAUCUUUGGUUUUGUCCACUUAACUAAGCCCAGGGGGCAGUAUUUCAGAGCUACCCCAAAGAGGGAAGGGGGUAGUAUCAAGAUCUAAGUCAUAAAGGUGAAGGGGGAGGUACAUGCAGCCAUGCAUACAUUUUGCAUAAGUUUGCUGCUGGUCUCAUGAAGGUGCCACUAGUCACAGACAUUAGUCAUCACUGAAGGAUUUUAGUGUUUUUCUAGGUAUGAGGAGAUGCAAGAAUUGGGCUCAUAAAAUCUUCUCCUAAAAAGUAUCUUUCUAUCUGAAGACCUGCUCUUCCAGUUUUCCCAGAGCACAGAGUGCCUCAUUCCUGGUCUCCACCCUGAGCUCCGCUCAGGGGGUGCUGCAGGUUGGCAGCUGCAGUGGCUCAUGUUUCACUCCAUGUAGAGGCUGAUGGCAAGUGCCAAACUUCAGUUCACACAGGAAAUUGACUUCUUUCCUUUCAAAGAAAACCUUUAAUAUUAUUAGUAUCCUCAGCAUAAUUUAUAUUAGGGGAGGAGAGAGGGAGGAAGAGACAAGGAGUGCCCAGAGCCAGCUUGUCCAGGGCCUGUGAAAAUGUUUUUAGUUGUUUUAAAAUCAGAAGAAAUAAUGAUAUGAUCCAGCCUGGAUUAGAUUUGUCUUUAUACCAACACAUCUCUGAAAGACAAUUUAAAAUGUUUUUUUAUUGGUGAGAGGGAUUCACAAAGGAAAAAGUACUCAGGGCCUGUGAAAGUCAGAAUGUGCUCUCAGAAAUGCCGUAACUUAGUUAUUUUAAAGAAAAUUUGCUGAAGAAAUCCUUGACAAGGAUUUAUUUAUUCUACCAGGACACUAGAGAAUAUCACAAAAGCAACGAAAUAUAAUGUUUUUCAAGUGAUUCAACAAACUGAAUGGAACCAGCUAAUUGAAAAAAUCUGGAGGGCUAUCAACAGAGAAAGACAUGGUUUGAUUUCUCUGUACAGCUAAUCUACAAAGCAUGGGAUUGUUAUUUUAUCUAAAAGGGCUAGUGGAAGUUCCGUCAUGGCUCGCCAGUAAUGAACCCAACUAGUAUCCAUGAAGACGUGGAUUCGAUCUCUGGCCACACUCAGAGGGUU
rnacentral:lncRNA from 1 species